rnacentral:rRNA from 1 species
UACGGAGGGUGCAAGCGUUAAUCGGAAUUACUGGGCGUAAAGCGCACGCAGGUGGCUGAGUCAGUCGAUUGUGAAAGCCCUGGGCUUAACCUGGGAAUUGCAGUCGAUACUACUUAGCUAGAGUAUGGGAGAGGGCAGUGGAAUUCCCGGUGUAGCGGUGGAAAUGACGUAGAGUAUUGGGAGGAACACCAGUGGCGAAGGCGGCUCACUGGACCGGAACUGACGCUGAGGCGCGAAAGCGUGGGGAGCAAACAGG